ACUGCUUUUAGCUGUACACAUUGAUUAACUUAAACAGUUUUCGUAAAUGCAUUUCAGAGAAAAGUGAAUUCUGAGAUUUGAAUAAUGCAUCUGACGUGUGGGAUGACGUCACGACGCACGUAUUUUGAUUUUUACCAGUCGUUCAAGACGGACGGAUUCAGUCCCAAGAAGCAAAAGUUUUUCAAAGACAUUUGUAGGGAGGACUUUGCAGCUAAUGGAGCUGAAGUAUUUUAUGUAAGGAGGAUUUUGCAGCCCAUAUAGAUUUCCUUAGGCUGAACCAAAACCUGCCAGACUAAAGUUGAUUUGGGAGAGAAAGACGUUGAAAACUCAAUCAUCUUGACAUUCUUCAAUGAGUAAUUAUUCAAUUUUUAGGCAAAUACUGUACACUUUGAAUGCUGUGAAUAAAACUAUAUUUUAAAUAUAUUUAAAAUGAAUUGUUUUUGACUUUUUUAAUCAGCUUUUAUUUAUUUGGAAAAAAAUAUUUUGGUUAUGUUACCAGCUAAAGUAAUCUAUUCCCCAAAUAGCACUCUUUAAGUUAACUAAUUAUUAACGCACUUGAAGUAUACUCAUUACUAAUCUAGCUGUACAUAAAUGUAAUGUACUUGGCAUAUUCAUUUUUCACCAGGGCAGUUUUUAGAAUUUUGGAUUGGCCAAAAAUAUAUAGAAUGUAGGCAAACAGUCUAUUUAAGGUAUACUGGUUGUAUGUUUGCAAGACACUCAUAAUACAUUUGUAAUGUACUCCUAACAUAAAUAAAACACACUCUAAAUCCACUUAUCAAGCAUGAAUUUAGCACAAAAACAGUCAUGUACUUAAAUUGUACUAAAUACACUUAAAGUUGUUCCACUUUAGCACACAAAAGUACACUAAAUACACUUAAAGUUGUACUUUGUUACAAUUAAUAUACAACUAAAAUAUAUUAAGUACAAAAUUAAUUGUUCCAAAAUAGCACUCUUUAAAUAAACUAAUCAAUAGCACACUUUAAGUAUACUGGUCAUUAGUGUGACUGCAAGUAUACUUAAGUAUAUCAAAAUUAAAUAUAUUUAGCAUACUAUUUUUUCA